ACAUGAAAAUAGUUUAAUAACGAUAAAAGUUAGUUAAGUAAAGGAGAAAUAUAUUAUUAUGGGUUUAGUAUAUGUAGAUAUCACAAUGAUUCACAGUUUGUUUAUCAUCAACGCUUCAGUGCCCUUGUUGGUUUGUUAGUUUGCACCGAUCAUUUAUGCAGUUUAGGAACUUGUGUUUGAUUGCUGUGGAUGGCAGACGUUUGUGGCUGUUCAAAAGACAUCAGGCCAUGGAAAAAUAAUAAGUUUUAUUAUUGAUUGAAGAAAGUAACUGGGGACAAGCCUAUUCUCCUGAAGACAUUCCUCUGUUGUGAAAAAAUACUUUGGAAAAAUUCGCACCCUUGCUGGCCAGAGUUGGCCAAAGAUCGUAUUUUCACGUAAAGUUUGCACUAAUAUUGAGCUGUACAAUUUUCUGGUAGAGGUCUCCCUGUCUGUUUACAACAUUGAAGAAUGUCCGAAGUUUUUUCAUGAGCAGUUACAAGGUCAACAAAAUGAUGACAGAAACGAUAAAGUCACGAGCUGCAGAAGAAGGCAUUCGUGCUGUCAGACGGAAGCAAAAACGGUGAAGAAGAGGAGGUUGUUGAAACUUUUAAAGAGAUUUGUACGGAAAAAAGUAACUUCCAAUUACGUUCACAUUGACAAAGACACCAUUGCCUUACUGAGUUUAAGGUGUCCUUGAUUGUGAUAGCUUCAUCAUAAUUGAUGUAAGUAAACCAUUGCACUUAAUAUGUUUUAAAUGAAGUUUAUAAAGAUGAAACUUAACGAUAGUAGUCUUUUCUAUACCUUGUUAUAGCUACCUUGUUGCUGUGACAAAUUUUUUGUCAUUUUGUUGUUUUGUUAUGUAAUCAUAAUUUUUAGAAUUUUUGAAUAAUAAGCUUUCCCCUAAGAUGUA